GGGGAUGUAGCUCAGUGGUAGCGCACGUGCCUAGCAAUCACGAGGCCCUGAGUUCACCCCAGUAGCCCCC
rnacentral:tRNA from 1 species